UACGUAGGGUGCGAGCGUUAAUCGGAAUUACUGGGCGUAAAGUGUGCGCAGGCGGCCGAGCAAGUCGAGUGUGAAAGCCCCGAGCUUAACUUGGGAACUGCGCUCGAAACUACUUGGCUAGAGUGUGGCAGAGGGAGGUGGAAUUCCACGUGUAGCGGUGAAAUGCGUAGAGAUGUGGAGGAACACCGAUGGCGAAGGCGGCAUCCUGGACCGGCAUUGACGCUGAGGAGCGAAAGCCAGGGGAGCAAACGGG
rnacentral:rRNA from 1 species